CCUACGGGUGGCAGCAGUGGGGAAUAUUGGACAAUGGGGGCAACCCUGAUCCAGCCAUGCCGCGUGUGUGAAGAAGGCCCUCGGGUUGUAAAGCACUUUCAGUGAGGAAGAACGCCUGGUGGUUAAUACCCAUCAGGAAAGACAUCACUCACAGAAGAAGCACCGGCUAACUCCGUGCCAGCAGCCGCGGUAAUACGGAGGGUGCGAGCGUUAAUCAGAAUUACUGGGCGUAAAGCGCGCGUAGGUGGCUUGAUAAGCCGGUUGUGAAAGCCCCGGGCUCAACCUGGGAACGGCAUCCGGAACUGUCAAGCUAGAGUGCAGGAGAGGAAGGUAGAAUUCCCGGUGUAGCGGUGAAAUGCGUAGAGAUCGGGAGGAAUACCAGUGGCGAAGGCGGCCUUCUGGACUGACACUGACACUGAGGUGCGAAAGCGUGGGUAGCAAACAGGAUUAGAUACCCUGGUAGUC
rnacentral:rRNA from 1 species